AGGACAGAGGUGGAAGUGCAGUAAUGUAUGGAGCUGACUGUUACUAAUAGGUCGAGGGCUUGACCUAAAA
rnacentral:rRNA from 1 species